GACGAACGCUGGCGGCGUGCCUAAUACAUGCAAGUAGAACGCUGAAGAGAGGAGCUUGCUCUUCUUGGAUGAGUUGCGAACGGGUGAGUAACGCGUAGGUAACCUGCCUUGUAGCGGGGGAUAACUAUUGGAAACGAUAGCUAAUACCGCAUAACAAUGGAUGACACAUGUCAUUUAUUUGAAAGGGGCAAUUGCUCCACUACAAGAUGGACCUGCGUUGUAUUAGCUAGUAGGUGAGGUAAUGGCUCACCUAGGCGACGAUACAUAGCCGACCUGAGAGGGUGAUCGGCCACACUGGGACUGAGACACGGCCCAGACUCCUACGGGAGGCAGCAGUAGGGAAUCUUCGACAAUGGGGGCAACCCUGACCGAGCAACGCCGCGUGAGUGAAGAAGGUUUUCGGAUCGUAAAGCUCUGUUGUAAGUCAAGAACGGGUGUGAGAGUGGAAAGUUCACACUGUGACGGUAGCUUACCAGAAAGGGACGGCUAACUACGUG
rnacentral:rRNA from 1 species